rnacentral:rRNA from 1 species
UACGGGGGGGGUAAGCGUUGUUCGGAAUUACUGGGCGUAAAGGGCUCGUAGGCGGCCAACUAAGUCGGACGUGAAAUCCCUCAGCUUAACUGGGGAACUGCGUCCGAUACUGGAUGGCUUGGAUUUGGGAGAGGGAUGCGGAAUUCCAGGUGUAGCGGUGAAAUGCGUAGAUAUCAGGAAGAACACCUAUGGCGAAGGCAGCUCUCUGGGACGGUACUGACGCUGAGACGCGAAAGCGUGGGGAGCGAACAGG